rnacentral:rRNA from 1 species
GGAGGAAAGCAGGGGAUCGCAAGACCUUGCGCUCUUGGAGCGGCCGAUGUCUGAUUAGCUAGUUGGUGAGGUAAAGGCUUACCAAGGCGACGAUCAGUAGCUGGUCUGAGAGGACGACCAGCCACACUGGGACUGAGACACGGCCCAGACUCCUACGGGAGGCAGCAGUGGGGAAUUUUGGACAAUGGGGGAAACCCUGAUCCAGCCAUGCCGCGUGAGUGAAGAAGGCCUUCGGGUUGUAAAGCUCUUUCAGCCGGAACGAAACGGUCACGGCUAAUACCUGUGACUACUGACGGUACCGGAAGAAGGAGCACCGGCUAACUACGUGCCAGCAGCCGCGGUAAUACGUAGGGUGCAAGCGUUAAUCGGAAUUACUGGGCGUAAAGCGUGCGCAGGCGGUUUUGUAAGUCAGAUGUGAAAUCCCCGGGCUUAACCUGGGAACUGCGUUUGAAACUACAAGGCUAG